rnacentral:rRNA from 1 species
GAUGAACGCUGGCGGCGUGCCUAAUACAUGCAAGUCGAACGAAACUUCUUUAUCACCGAGUGCUUGCACUCACCGAUAAAGAGUUGAGUGUCGAACGGGUGAGUAACACGUUGGCAACCUGCCCAAAAGAGGGGGAUAACACUUGGAAACAGGUGCUAAUACCGCAUAACCAUAGUUACCGCAUGGUAACUAUGUAAAAGGUUGCUAUACUACCGCUUUUGGAUGGGCCGGCGGCGAAUUAGCUAGUUGGUGGGGUACAGGCUUACCAAGGCAAUGAUUCGUAGCGGAAUGGAGGGGUGGAUCGGCCACGUGGGAACUGGGACACGGCCCAAACUCCUAGGGGAGGCAGCAGUAGGGAAUCUUCCACAAUGGGCGAAAGCCUGAUGGAGCAACGCCGCGUGGGUGAAGAAGGUCUUCGGAUCGUAAGACCCUGUUGUUAGAGAAGAAAGUGCGUGAGAGUAACUGUUCACGUUUCGACGGUAUCUAACCAGAAAGCCACGGCUAACUACGUG